AGUGCUUGCUUCUGCACUAUGGAUACCAAAACUGGAAUGAUAUAGAGAUGAUUAAUUAGCAUGACCCCUGCAUAAGGAUAAUGCAAACAUUUGUAUUUGUUAAAAUAUACAU